UUUCGGGAUGAAGAGCAUUGUGACUGAGCGGCGGACGGGUGAGUAACGCGUGGGUAACCUGCCUCAUACAGGGGGAUAACAGUUAGAAAUGGCUGCUAAUACCGCAUAAGACCACAGCACCGCAUGGUGCAGGGGUAAAAACUCCGGUGGUGUGAGAUGGACCCGCGUCUGAUUAGCUAGUUGGCAGGGCAACGGCCUACCAAGGCGACGAUCAGUAGCCGACCUGAGAGGGUGACCGGCCACAUUGGGACUGAGACACGGCCCAAACUCC
rnacentral:rRNA from 1 species